AUACGGAAGGUCCGGGCGUUAUCCGGAUUUAUUGGGUUUAAAGGGAGCGCAGGCCGAUUAUUAAGCGUGACGUGAAAUGUAGAUGCUCAACAUCUGAACUGCGUCGCGAACUGGUAGUCUUGAGUGAGUUCGAUGUGGGCGGAAUUCGUGGUGUAGCGGUGAAAUGCUUAGAUAUCACGAAGAACUCCGAUUGCGAAGGCAGCCCACAAGGCCUUUACUGACGCUAAAGCUCGAAGGUGCGGGUAUCGAACAGGAUUAGAUACCCUGGUAGUCCGCACGGUAAACGAUGGAUGCCCGCUGUUUGCGAUAUACUGUGAGCGGCCAAGAGAAAUCGUUAAGCAUCCCACCUGGGGAGUACGCCGGCAACGGUGAAACUCAAAGGAAUUGACGGGG
rnacentral:rRNA from 1 species